rnacentral:rRNA from 1 species
UGGGGAAUAUUGGACAAUGGGCGAAAGCCUGAUCCAGCCAUGCCGCGUGUGUGAAGAAGGUCUUCGGAUUGUAAAGCACUUUAAGUUGGGAGGAAGAGCAGUAAGUUAAUACCUUGCUGUUUUGACGUUACCAACAGAAUAAGCACCGGCUAACUUCGUG